rnacentral:rRNA from 1 species
AUUGAACGCUGGCGGCAGGCUUAACACAUGCAAGUCGAGCGGGGUGAUGGCGCUUGCACUAUCACUUAGCGGCGGACGGGUGAGUAAUGCUUAGGAAUCUGCCUAUUAGUGGGGGACAACAUCUCGAAAGGGAUGCUAAUACCGCAUACGUCCUACGGGAGAAAGCAGGGGAUCACUUGUGACCUUGCGCUAAUAGAUGAGACUAAGUCGGAUUAGCUAGUUGGUGGGGUAAGGGCCUACCAAGGCGACGAUCUGUAGCGGGUCUGAGAGGAUGAUCCGCCACACUGGGACUGAGACACGGCCCAGACUCCUACGGGAGGCAGCAGUGGGGAAUAUUGGACAAUGGGGGGAACCCUGAUCCAGCCAUGCCGCGUGUGAAGAAGGCCUUAUGGUUGUAAAGCACUUUAAGCGAGGAGGAGGCUCUUUUGGUUAAUACCCAAGAUGAGUGGACGUUACUCGCAGAAUAAGCACCGGCUAACUCUGUGCCAGCCGCCGCGGUAA